UGGGGAAUUUUGGACAAUGGGCGAAAGCCUGAUCCAGCAAUGCCGCGUGUGCGAAGAAGGCCUUCGGGUUGUAAAGCACUUUUGUCCGGAAAGAAAUCCGCCUGGCUAAUACCCGGGCGGGAUGACGGUACCGGAAGAAUAAGCACCGGCUAACUACGUGCCAGCAGCCGCGGUAAUACGUAGGGUGCGAGCGUUAAUCGGAAUUACUGGGCGUAAAGCGUGCGCAGGCGGCUUUGUAAGACAGAUGUGAAAUCCCCGGGCUCAACCUGGGAACUGCAUUCGUGACUGCAAGGCUAGAGUGCGGCAGAGGGAGGUGGAAUUCCGCGUGUAGCAGUGAAAUGCGUAGAGAUGCGGAGGAACACCGAUGGCGAAGGCAGCCUCCUGGGAUGACACUGACGCUCAUGCACGAAAGCGUGGGGAGCAAACA
rnacentral:rRNA from 1 species